rnacentral:rRNA from 1 species
CUAGAAAUGGUGAUUAAUACCAAAUACUACCCUAUGGGGGAAAGAUUUAUCGCUAAAGGAUUGGUCUAUGUCCUAUCAGCUUGUUGGUGAGGUAAAGGCUCACCAAGGCAAUGACGGGUAUCCGGCCUGAGAGGGUGAACGGACACACUGGAACUGAGACACGGUCCAGACUCCUACGGGAGGCAGCAGUAGGGAAUAUUGCUCAAU